CACUAGCGUAUAUUAAAGUUGCUGCAGUUAAAAAGCUCGUAGUUGGAUUUCUGGUAUGGCGCGCCUGGUCCACCCCGUAAAGGUGUGUGAGUACCGGCGCGCGCCUACCGUCCUUCCUCGGAGCACGCCCACCCUUCACUGGGUCGGGCGCUUGCGACGUGGAUCAUUUACUUUGAAAAAAUUAGAGUGUUCAAAGCAGGCUUACGCCGUGAAUACAUUAGCAUGGAAUAAUAAGAUAGGACUUUGGUUUUAUUUUGUUGGUUUCUAGGACUGAAGUAAUGAUUGAUAGGGAUAGUUGGGGGUGCUAGUAUUUAGCGGCCAGAGGUGAAAUUCUUGGAUUCGCUAAAGACUAACUAAUGCGAAAGCAUUCACCAAGGAUGUCUUCGUUAA
rnacentral:rRNA from 1 species